UGCAUGUGAUCCUCUAGCCACUCAACAAACAUGUGCUGAGAAUGUUAGGCUACAUACCAAACAUUAAAAACACAUAUGUGAUUAACACACAGCUGAUGUCAUCAAUGGGCUCACCUUCAGCAAAGGAAACAGGCACUUGAGUGGAGAACAUGGCAAGAGCAAGAACAGUGGCUCAUUAAACCAGGGAACUUGGUGCCUAGCUCUGCCUAAUUUGAUCCUCAUGCAAGAGCCUUGCUGACCUUUGGGUUGUCCAGUUGCUGGCAUGCUGUUCACAGACCCCUGAGAUUACAUUGGACCCAUUUGGAUAAUCCAGGAUAAUCUUCCCUUCUCAAGAUCCUUGGUUUAAUCACAUCCACAGAGUCCUUUUCAUCAUAGAAGAGUUCUACAUAAACGUUGAUAGAGAUAGGAAGAGACGAAGCAUAUGGAAGUGUCACAGGGAAGGUUCUUCCAUCAAGAAGGCAGAUCUAAACUUAGAUGUUGGAUGAUGAUGGAAAAAUACAGCAUAGUAAGCCCUUCCUCUUCUGACAGAGUGCCAAUUUGUGACUCUCUUGGAUUGAUGAGAAACUCUGAUCUCAGAACCUCUGUAAACUCUCUUGCUUUUUAUUUCCUAUGCUUCAGACUCAAAAAUUACAUUGUCUUCAGUUAUUCUUUCAAGGAAGAUACAAGAGGCUACAAAGGAAAAAAAGAUGCAGGAAUGGGGAAAUCAGAAAGUACCAUCAAAGUCAUUGUAAAGCAAGUACAUAUAUAUAACAUACAUCCAGACACACAUAUUUAUAUAGAAACGACAGUGAAGUGAUAACAAUAAAAAGAGCUCCUCAAGCUUCUAAACAUGGAAUAAGAUACUAAAGUACAUCUACUUUCAUAUUAUAUUCCUUCCAGCAGCUCUGAACUUUAUGUGGUUCCCUAUACAUACUAUCUAUAGUCAUGAUACCCCCAAUGCUUAAUACUUACCCCCACUUUCUCCUCAAAUAACUCUUACUUGAGCUUUAACGCUCAGUUUUAGUGAAACUGAAGGCACUGAUAAGUAAA